UAAAGAUUCAUCGCUGAUAGAUAGGCAUGCGUUCCAUUAGGCAGUUGGCGGGGUAACGGCCCACCAAACCGACGAUGGAUAGGGGUUCUGAGAGGAAGGUCCCCCACAUUGGUACUGAGACACGGACCAAACUCCUACGGGAGGCAGCAGUGAGGAAUAUUGGUCAAUGGGCGUAAGCCUGAACCAGCCAAGUCGCGUGAGGGAUGAAGGUUCUAUGGAUCGUAAACCUCUUUUAUAAGGGAAUAAAGUGUGGGACGUGUCCUAUUUUGUAUGUACCUUAUGAAUAAGGAUCGGCUAACUCCGUGCCAGCAGCCGCGGUAAUGCGGAGGAUCCGAGCGUUAUCCGGAUUUAUUGGGUUUAAAGGGUGCGUAGGCGGCCUUUUAAGUCAGCGGUGAAAGUCUGUGGCUCAACCAUAGAAUUGCCGUUGAAACUGGGGGGCUUGAGUAUGUUUGAGGCAGGCGGAAUGCGUGGUGUAGCGGUGAAAUGCUUAGAUAUCACGCAGAACCCCGAUUGCGAAGGCAGCCUGCCAAGCCAUGACUGACGCUGAUGCACGAAAGCGUGGGGAUCAAACAGGAUUAGAUACCCUGGUAGUCCACGCAGUAAACGAUGAUCACUAGCUGUUUGCGAUACAGUGUAA
rnacentral:rRNA from 1 species